UUCAAUUUCUUAUGUCUUUUUGUGAUUUAUUACAAAUUUUCUUCUUUCUCCUUUUACGUAGGGGGCCUGGGGAAUGUAUGUUAGUUGGCAAUUUAUUAGAUAUCUAUUAACGUGUAGGGGAAAUGAUAUGAGCAUUCAUCUUUCAUUAGAACUUCAACUGCUGCUUAUUUAUUUACUUAUUUUUGUUUUGGUGACCGCAGGUUCACUUCUGUAAUGAAAGGAAACGGGAAUCUGUAGCCUUGGGUGUUUGCUUGAAAAAUGAAGUGGAAAUAAAAGGUCCAUCAAAUAUUUAUGACAUGAAAACUAUUUAUAUAUGAAAAUAUUGUGACUGAUUGUCUAUCACUCGUGGUUCAUGAUUGUUUUUCCUUCAAAUACAACUUACAUACUCUUCCAUCAAAAUUAAUCGUCUACAAACCAAUAAAAAAAUGACUAAAUGGAAAAUUAUGAACAUUCAAAGCGAGAUUUAUUUUUCAUUAGCCCUGUCUUUUUUUAUUUUUAAAUUUUGUAGAUGAUUUGUUGAAUCAUCUUUGUGCCUUUUUGGCUAAGCUUGGUCACAUAUGAAUGUGUCGUUACCAUUUGGGAGUUUACCUUUGAUUGGAGUAGAGAUUGG
rnacentral:lncRNA from 1 species